rnacentral:rRNA from 1 species
CGGCGGCGGACGGGUGAGUAACGCGUGGGUAACCUGCCUCAUACAGGGGGAUAACAGUUGGAAACGGCUGCUAAUACCGCAUAAGCGCACAGUACCGCAUGGUACCGUGUGAAAAACUCCGGUGGUAUGAGAUGGACCCGCGUCUGAUUAGCUAGUUGGUGGGGUAACGGCCUACCAAGGCGACGAUCAGUAGCCGACCUGAGAGGGUGACCGGCCACAUUGGGACUGAGACACGGCCCAA